rnacentral:rRNA from 1 species
CCUACGGGUGGCAGCAGUGGGGAAUAUUGCACAAUGGGGGAAACCCUGAUGCAGCGACGCCGCGUGGGGGAAUGAAGGUCUUCGGAUUGUAAACCCCUGUCAUGUGGGAGCAAAUUAAAAAGAUAGUACCACAAGAGGAAGAGACGGCUAACUCUGUGCCAGCAGCCGCGGUAAUACAGAGGUCUCAAGCGUUGUUCGGAAUCACUGGGCGUAAAGCGUGCGUAGGCUGUUUGGUAAGUCGUGUGUGAAAGGCGCGGGCUCAACCCGCGAACGGCACAUGAUACUGCGAGACUAGAGUAAAGGAGGGGGAACCGGAAUUCUCGGUGUAGCAGUGAAAUGCGUAGAUAUCGAGAGGAACACCCGUGGCGAAGGCGGGUUCCUGGACAUUAACUGACGCUGAGGCACGAAGGCCAGGGGAGCGAAAGGGAUUAGAUACCCGAGUAGUC